GGUGGUGCAUGGCCGUUCUUAGUUGGUGGAGUGAUUUGUCUGGUUAAUUCCGAUAACGAACGAGACCUUAACCUGCUAACUAGAUUCUUCCAUCUUAUGGUUGAUAUCUUCUUAGAGGGACUAUGUAAAACAAAUACAUGGAAGUUUGAGGCAAUAACAGGUCAGUGAUGCCCUUAUAUGUCCUGGGCUGCACGCGUGCUACACUGAUGCAUACAACAAGUGCCUAACCAGACAUGGUAUGGCAAUCUCGAAUAUGCAUCGUGAUGGGGAUAGAUCUUUGCAAUUA
rnacentral:rRNA from 1 species